rnacentral:rRNA from 1 species
UGAGUAACCUGCCCUUAACUCUGGGAUAAGCCUGGGAAACUGGGUCUAAUACCGGAUAUGACUCCUCAUCGCAUGGUGGGGGGUGGAAGGCUUUUUGUGGUUUUGGAUGGACUCGCGGCCUAUCAGCUUGUUGGUGAGGUAAUGGCUUACCAAGGCGACGACGGGUAGCCGGCCUGAGAGGGUGACCGGCCACACUGGGACUGAGACACGGCCCAGACUCCUACGGGAGGCAG